UUCGACUGAACGCGUCGGAAGAGACCCGACUACCGAACCUUUAUCCGGCGGUCGGUCGACUUCCGACUCAACGAACGCGCCCGACUCACGGCCGGGGGAAGGACGCCCGACUUACGACCUCGACCGUCGAAGGCCGAUCCAAAGUCGGGACUUGUUCUACCUUCGUGCGGUGCGAGUUGCCGAACGUCCUAAACAACCUAUACGAGUUGGCAACUUACGUGUUC
rnacentral:lncRNA from 1 species